GGAGAGUGGUGGAAAAAGAUAUCAAUUCAAUAGUUGUGAAGCAAUGUGUGUGUGUGUGUGUGUGUGUGUGUGUGUGUGUGUGUGUAACCCAAACUCUUGGAACUUCUUCCUGUUUCAUAGCUCCGAAAGGCACACUGAUCCCUUUUCGGUUACAGAAUAAAAGCUUUGUGAUUGGCCGGAGCAAUGACAAAAGUAUAAAUGGAGGGUGGUUCAGCCAGUCUCAGCCUGGGUUUUGCGAGCUGAUAUCCAGGCAAAUAUUGUGGUAUGUGAGACCUUGGGAGGCUGGGCAGGAGAGAGGCUGGAGGUUUAAGUUGAGGAAUUUUUAGAGCUCACAAAUAUUUAGCAGUUCUGAACAACUGUCAUUCCUGAAAUGUUUGCUGCUCUGUAUAAGAAGCUGGGGGACAUGCUCUGAGCGAGUGCUAGAGACAAAAGCAUAAGUAGCAAAAAUUUUGCUGGGCUUUGCGUACCGGUAAUGGGAAGCAAACUUAAUUCUUAUUUUCAGCAAAGGGGAUUUGGCAAACCUAUUCUGUCCCUCUGCCCUGAUGCAUAUUCUGCUUGCAAUGCCCAGGUAGCACAAACAUGUGUUUUGGGUCAUUGGUGCACUAAUCCAUGCACUCAAUAAUGAAAUCUGUUUCUCCAUCCCGCCUCUCUUUUAGAAAGAACCCAGAUACUGUUCCAACACAAUUUUCAUUCUGCUCUCUUAUCUCUGUGUUUUUCUUUUUAACCUGCUGCUUAUUGCUCUACUAAUUGUCAUUUUAAAGAUGGGCUUGUCGUUUUUAUUCUUGUGGCCAGUAUUUUAAACGAACCACUUUUCUCAUAACAAGGUGGGGUAAAGAAACCAUGAUAAUCCUUCAAAGAGGGUUUUUUUUUAAAUUAAAAAAUUGCAUAACUAUAGAAGCUCACCACAAUCAAAUUGUUAUCUGUAUUUGUUCUUAAUCACUUUUUAACCACACCUUUCCACCCACAAAGAGGCCCUUAAGGUGGCUUACAUUUAAAUUGCAGGCUUUAAUGCAAUACAAAUUAAAAACCAACAGUGUUGUACAAUAAAUAACAAUCUAGUCAUUGAAACAGAGGCAGGGAGAAAAGUGAGCCAGUUUUAGCAGUGCUCCGGGAAGGGCUACUGGACCAAACUGUCUUCCAAAGGCAGGUUGAGAGACUGUCAAGAUUCUAGCGAGCAAGAUGCCACUACUAAGAAAGCCCUGCUCCUUGUGGAUGUCACCUUGCAGUGCAGGGAGGAACGACAGAUGUAUGCCGGGGAAGGUCUUGCAAACGUGUAGUUUUGCGCUCAAUGUGAAAGUCUGUGUCAGAAAUGGGAAUUCUACAAGUCAUGUGCAUUUCUGACUUGUCUUCAUACCCAUUCCUUCCAUCUCUGUGUUAUGUGCAAAGGAUUGAGGGUUGUAUCCAACCAAGUUAUACCUGGAGUAGCACCGCUGCUAUGAACGGAACCAAGUUAGUCAUGUGCGUUAUUUUCAAUGGGCCUACUCUGCAUAGGGCUAAUGCUGGAUACAAUCCUGAGCUGUCUUGGUAGUGAGAUCAACAAGUUGCCUUUUCCAUACCACCGGCAGAAGCAUGGCUUGCUGUUUGUUAUGUGCAAAUUCUUUUGAGCUAAUCUGGUACAGUAUAUAAUUUAGCUGUUCUUAGGGAUAAUAUAGACAGUAGUCAUUUUUUUCACUUCUAAAACAGCAUUAUGCCGCAGUGAUACUGUUUGGUAUUUGCGUGGUGUUAAUCCUCACUCCCCACCAUACUUGGUUGUGUUUCCAGAUGAUUAUCUCCACUUUUCAAACAUCCUUCUGAGAAUGGAAUAGAAAGCUGGCAAUCAACUUUCUGUCUAGAAAGGCAAACCAGCCAUUCUACAGGAGCACAAGACUUCUGUGUAUCAGAGCGCACAAUGUUCAAUAAGACCCUGAACUUUCAAGUUCACAAAAGUUAAUAUUAACUGCAUCCUGCACAACUGGCUGUUAAAAUGAAAAAACAAAUUGUGUGCUUGCUUCAUUCAGUUCUUUGUGCUGGACACGUUCUUAGAAAAGAGUUUAGCAUAGUGUUUAAUUUUUUUUUUAAUCAAAACCCAUUUAUUUUUAAUUAUUAAAGUUGAAUGACGUUUCUUACAAAUCAGGGCAGAGAGAACUUUUGCAAAUGCCAUCUUUUCUGUCAGGAGCAUGCAGAGUGCUAUCUAACUGGAGAUCCUCAGAUUAGGUAGCUCAUGGUGGAUAAAGCCAUUGGUGGCUACUAGUCAUUAUGGCUAUAUGUUGCAUUGAGAGCCAGUGUGGUGUAGUGGUUAAGAGCGGUAGAUCCGUAAUCUGGGGAACCGGGUUCACGUCUCUGCUCCUCCACAUGCAGCUGCUGGGUGACCUUGGGCUAGUCACACUUCUUUGAAGUCUCUCAGCCUCACUCACCUCACAGGGUGUUUGUUGUCGGGGAGGAAGGGAAAGGAGAUUGUUAGACACUUUGAGACUCCUUCGGGUAGUGAUAAAGCGGGAUAUCAAAUCCAAAAUCUUCUUCUUCUUCUUCUUCUUCUUCUUCUUCUUCUUCUUCUUCGGGGUCAGAGAUGUGUUGCCUCUGAAUCCUGGUUGCUUGGGGGCAUAAGUGGGGAGAGAGUGCUCUUGUGCUAAUGUCCUGAUCGUGGGCUUCCCAUCUGCAGCUGGGUGGCCACUGUAAGAACCAGCUGUUGGACUAGAUGGAGCUUUGAUCAGAUCCAGCAGGGAUCUUCUUAUGGAGGAGAUAAUGAAUGCAAAUCAUGACACUAAAUGAUUCGUCACAAACAAUAUAAAGCUGUAGUAGAGCAAAACCAAAGCUGCCUAAUGGUGAAGGCUGGAUGUGUGUGCAUUCUCAUGAUGCAUCACAAGAUGCAUCACUGUGAAGGAGCCUGACUUGCAUGUUGGGCAGAACUGCAGUUUAUGCUUAAUUGCAGCUCUUGUGGUAUGGUGCUGGUGGCCCUUGUGCCUCCUUUGCAGCCACCCUCAACAAGUAAGAAGAGCCAGGCUGGUUCAUCCUGAGCAUAGGUCUCAUUUGGGAACAUAGAGAUGUAGCUCUGGUCAGGAAAGCAGAUUAAGAUAAAGAAGCAUUCUUUUCUCUCCUCGAAUGAAGAUUGAUGAGAUAAUUUGCUGCUGUUAGAUCUAAUUGGAACCAAGUCUAUAAAACCAGGCGUCUGUAAGAGUUGAGUUAUUGCCGUGUUUCAAUGCUUGAACCAGAAAUGUGCUUUAAUACCUAUUGGUUGACAUUGUUAUUGGGUGAGCUCAUCUAUUCCUGGCUGAAAUCACUGCUGGGAGGUUUGUAAGCCAUCCUAGCAGCUGGGCUAUUGCUUGCACCUGCUGUUGACUGUGGCUGUGGAGACCAGAAGCCAAAUUUCUGAAGCCACUUGCUAGUCGGAGUGCAAAGUCGCUUCUGCCUCUGGAGGGAUGAAGUCCUUGCAACAUGCCCAAACUCCCUGCCACCGCAUGCCGGAGUAUUUAGAUUGCAACACACUCAGCUUAUUGCAUCUUCUUGGACUAUGCAGUGGGCCCUACCUCACAGAGUGCAUCCUUGAAUAAGUACAAAAUACACAGACCUUGGAAGAAGGUAGACUUGGUGGAUAAAUUCAGUGUUCCCCAUCUCAUAUUGAUGCUGCUGCUGUUUGUUGACUUGAAUAAAUACAAUUGUUCAGAUACCUAUGUAAAACCCAUAAGAAGGGCCUGAGUGCAGCAGCAGUUCUCUCAAAUAGAUUUUUUUUAAAAUUUCUAUUUUCAUAGAAUAAUAGAAUAGGAAGGGACCCCAAGGGUCAUCUAGUCCAACCCUCUUCAAUGCUGGAAUCUCAACUAAAACUUCCAUGACAGAUGGCCAUCCAACUUUUGCUUAAAAACCUCCAAGGAAGGAGAGACCACAUCCUCCAGAGGGAGUCCGUUCGACUGUCGAACAGCUCUUACUGUCAGAAAGAUUUAAAAAAGUAUCAAGGCGGUGUACAAAAUUCUGAUUAAAACCCAAACAACCACAAUGAAGUAAAAGGAAAACACAUUACAGAAACAGAAGUAUGGAAUGGACAAUCUGAAAAGAAAGUUAAAAUAAAAAACUGCACGAAGGGGCUGUGGAGAUAAAUCAAUGGCCCUGCCGUUGGAUGUAUGGACAUUUGUACAGAGCACUUCUGCAUGAACAGGUGAAUCUGCGUUGACAAUCCGUGUGACAGCUGUGUUUCCCAUGGCCUCCUCUUGCUUCCCCAAGAAGUUGUUGGCUUCUUCAGCAGUAGUUUGCCUCCUUGAGCGUAAGCUGGCUCUCUGGGCUAUUCUGUCCCUCUCCCCCGCAAUUGCUUUUAUACUGCUGCCAAUUCCUUGACUCUCUAGUCUUGGAAUGCAGCUUUUAAGAUGAUUUUUUGGGGGGCCUCUUCCUUUCUCUUCCUGCAUUCCGCUUCCUCCAAAUUGCCUACAUUAAACUUUAAACAACAUGUGAAAGCCUUGUAGUUGAGAACUAUAAACAAACCUGAUAGGUAGCCGCAAUUUGAGCCGUUGAACUUGCUUAAAGUCUCUCUCCUUUGCCUCGCCGUUUCAUUCUAAAAUGACAAAUUGCUCAGAGCGGUUUCCAUGUUGGGGUUUUUUUUUCCUUUUAAAGCUUAGCUCCUCUUUCUCUGCCCACCCCCACCCCCUUUGGGGGCAUGUGGAAGGCAUUUGUGCACUUGACUUACCAUGGCUCAGGCCUAAGGUUUGUGGUUUCUACAUGACUGUGUCAAACAUUCACACAUAGCUGUUCAUGUUCGCUUCAAUUAAUGUUCCGCUGGGCCAGUGCGAGAGAAGCCAACUCCUUUUCUCUUUUGGUUGAGUGCAGCUCGCGUUGCAGGGAUUCAGGGUUUUACAGGUUCAUUUUUUAAAAAUGCAGCACGAAAGCUUUUUAAAUGCUUUUAAAAAGGAGGUGGUGGGGAAGAGAGUAGUCCAGUGGAUAUACAGUGGUACCUCGGGUUACAGACGCUUCAGGUUACAGACGCUUUAGGUUACAGACUCCACUAACCCAGAAAUAGUACCUCGGGUUAAGAACUUUGCUUCAGGAUGAGAAUAGCGGCGGCGCGGCGGCAGCGGGAGGCCCCAUUAGCUAAAGUGGUACAUCAGGUUAAGAACAGUUUCAGGUUAAGAACAGACCUCCGGAACGAAUUAAGUUCUUAACCCGAGGUACCACUGUACUGUUCAGCAGCCUGUGCCAACCUGGUGCCCUCCAGAUGUUUUGGCCUUCAGCUGCAGUCUGGCUGGCUGGGACUGAUGGCAAUCGUAGUCCAAAACAUCUAGAGGGCAUCAGGUUGGCCAAAACUGUCGCACACUGUGCCUGUUAAUAGAGGAAGCAAUGGUGUCUUUAAGGAUUCAUUGUCUUCCCACUGAAAGCAGCGAGGCAAACCUGCAUGCAGAAAAAGGCUGAAGGAAUAAAGGUGUGCUUUGCAUAUCAGACAACCGCAAAUGUCUUCCAUUGGGUUUAUAGUGGUUUCCCGACCACGUCGCUCGCUUGCGGCUUUCUCAGCCCUACCUGGAGACACGGUUGAUCAAACCAGGGACUUUCUGCAUACAAAGCAGGUGCUUUUCUACUGAGCUAUGAUGUGUGGGAGACCAGGGUUCAAAUCCCUGCAUAGCCAUGAAGCACUCUGGGCAGCCUUGGGCCUAGUCACUGUCUCUCAGGCUAACUUACCUCACAUGGCAGUUGCAGGGAUUAAAUGAGGAGCAGGAGAACCAUGUAUGCUGUCACUUUGAGCUCCUCAGAGAAAAAGCUGGGACAGAAAUGCAAUCAAUCAAUCAAUCAAUCAAACUACAGAAAAGCUGGGGGGGGGGCAGUAGUUGUUGCCACCUGGCCCUGGCCCUCUAUAUAUAGGACCAGUUCCCCAAAAAUGGUGUUUUAAAAGGGUUGCUGGAGUCAGUCUGGACCCUAGUGUUUGCUUCAUAUUAGUAAGUGCUAUAAGACCAGCUUUUGACCUUUUUUCUUUUUGUAGUACAGGAAUUACUUCAAACAGUGAGUUGCACAGACACUUGCCCCCACGCAUAUAUGUACUAGGCCUGUGGAGGAAGGGGAAAGAUUUGCAGUUAAGCCUCAUGGAUUUUUGCAGGUCUUCUCUAAGCACAGCUAAGUCUGGAUCAGACCCGUUGUGCUGGAGGAUUUGGGGUUGGUGUUCUGAACACUGACCUUUUUUAUUGUGGGGUCAUACUUGGGAGUUCGCUCUGCUGAAUGCAAGUGGAAAACAGUGUUUUUGCAAUAAUAACCUUUUU